AUUGAACGCUGGCGGCAGGCCUAACACAUGCAAGUCGAACGGUAACAGGAAGCAGCUUGCUGCUUCGCUGACGAGUGGCGGACGGGUGAGUAAUGUCUGAGAAGCUGCCUGAUGGAGGGGGAUAACUACUGGAAACGGUAGCUAAUACCGCAUAAUGUCGCAAGACCAAAGAGGGGGACCUUCGGGCCUCUUGCCAUCGGAUGUGCCCAGAUGGGAUUAGCUUGUUGGUGGGGUAACGGCUCACCAAGGCGACGAUCCCUAGCUGGUCUGAGAGGAUGACCAGCCACACUGGGACUGAGACACGGUCCAGACUCCUACGGGAGGCAGCAGUGGGGAAUAUUGCACAAUGGGCGCAAGCCUGAUGCAGCCAUGCCGCGUGUAUGAAGAAGGCCUUCGGGUUGUAAAGUACUUUCAGCGGGGAGGAAGGGAGUAAAGUUAAUACCUUUGCUCAUUGACGUUACCCGCAGAAGAAGCACCGGCUAACUCCGUG
rnacentral:rRNA from 1 species